rnacentral:rRNA from 1 species
GACGAACGCUGGCGGCGCGCUUUAUACAUGCAAGUCGAACGAGAAGCCAGAGCUUGCUCUGGUGGAAAGUGGCGAACGGGUGAGUAACACGUGAGAAACCUGCCCAAAGACUGGGAUAAGCCGAGGAAACUUGGUCUAAUACCGGAUACCUUCUUUUUAUCACAUGUUAAAAAGAAGAAAUGCUCCGGCGCUUUGGGAUGGUCUCGCGACCUAUCAGCUUGUUGGUGAGGUAAAAGCUCACCAAGGCAUCGACGGGUAGCUGGUCUGAGAGGAUGUCCAGCCACAUUGGGACUGAGAUACGGCCCAAAUCCUACGGGAGGCAGCAGUAGGGAAUCUUGCACAAUGAGGGAAACCUUGAUGCAGCGACGCCGCGUGCGGGACGAAGGCCCUAGGGUUGUAAACCGCUUUCAGUAGGGACGAAAGUGACGGUACCUACAGAAGAAGCCCCGGCCAACUAUGUGCCAGCAGCCGCGGU